UUCUUCAGGGCAGGGUGUAAUUCCCGAUCGGCAGUAAAGUCUGCGAGCGCAUACGUGCGCAGGAUGCGGCGCAAUUCCGCAACCGACAGUGAUAGUCUGGAUGGGAGAAGAA
rnacentral:ncRNA from 1 species